UACGUAGGCAGCGAGCGUUGUUCGGAAUUACUGGGCGUAAAGAGUGUGUAGGCGGUGCUCUAAGUUCGGUGUGAAAUCUCCCGCUUAACUGGGAGGGUGCGCCGGAAACUGGAGUGCUCGAGCGUGGGAGAGGAAAGCGGAAGUUCCUGGUGUAGCGGUGAAAUGACGUAGAUAUCGGGAGGAACACCUGCGGUGUAGACGGCUUUCUGGACCAUUGCUGACGCUGAGACACGAAAGCGUGGGUAGCAAACAGG
rnacentral:rRNA from 1 species